rnacentral:rRNA from 1 species
UGAACGCUGGCGGCAUGCUUAACACAUGCAAGCCGAACGAUUGGCUUCUUUAUGGGGUUGAUAGUGGCGGACGGGUGAGUAACGCGUAAGUUAUCCACGCUUGGGAGAGGGACAACAAAUGGAAACGUUUGCUAAUACCUCGUAUUGCUUUCGAAAAGUAAAGAUUUUGGUUUUGCCAUUAUGCCUAAGCACGAGCUUGCGUCUGAUUAGCUUGUUGGUGGGUAAAGGCCUACCAAGGCAUUGAUCAGUAGCUGGUUUGAGAAAAUGAUCAGCCACACUGGAAUUGAGAUACGGAACAGACUCCUACGGGAGGCAGCAGUGGGGAAUAUUUCGCAAUGGGUGCAAGCCUGACGAAGCAAUGCCGCGUGGAGGAUGAAGGCCCUUGGGUUGUAAACUCCUUUCUCAUUGAAGAAGUUCUGACGGUAUUUGAGGAAUAAGCAUCGGCUAAUUUCGUGCCUGCAG